GGAUAGCCCAGCAACCAUUUCUGUUUGUUCACCACCUGCCCUGCCCUGCCCUGGGGAGAGGAAACUGAUAAUGAAAAGAAGCCAGCUCAGUAGAAUUUCAGACAUGGCAAUGGAAUCUGCUAUAAUCAGUUCAGUCCCUACCACUGCAUCUCGUUUUGCCUUACUACAACUGGAAAGUGAUACUGAUUCAGAGCCUGGAAAAGGCAGAAGUGGCCGACGUGCUGGUAAAUCUCUAGCUUCAGGGUGUAGAUCUACAAAUGUGAAGAAAA